rnacentral:rRNA from 1 species
CAGCAGCCGCGGUAAUACGGAGGGUGCAAGCGUUAAUCGGAAUUACUGGGCGUAAAGCGCACGCAGGCGGUUUGUUAAGUCAGAUGUGAGAUCCCUGAGCUUAACUUGGGAACUGCAUUUGAAACUGGCAAGCUAGAGUCUGGUAGAGGGGAGUAGAAUUCCAGGUGUAGCAGUGAAAUGCGUAGAGAUCGGGAGGAAUACCGAUGGCGAAGGCAGCCACCUGGACAAAGACUGACGCUCAGGUGCGAAAGCGUGGGGAGCAAACAGGAUUAGAUACCCCGGUAGUCCCUGUCUCUUAUAC